UCUCCGUAGGUGAACCUGCGGAAGGAUCAUUAUUGUAUAACCGAGGUGCGAGGGCUGUCGCUGACCCGAAAGGUCGUGCACGCCCGAGUGCCCUCACACACAUCCAUCUCACCCCUAUGUGCACCACCGCGUGGGUCCCCCUUUGGCUUGUUCGGAGGGGGGCUUACGUUUUCACACAAACUUUGUAUGCAGUGUAGAAUGUAUUUUUUGUUUUUGCGAUCACGCAAUCAAUACGACUUUCAACAACGGAUCUCUUGGCUCUC
rnacentral:misc_RNA from 1 species